rnacentral:misc_RNA from 1 species
AACGAGGCCGACCUGCGGCUGAGUUACCUGCGGAGGGAUCAUUACUGAGGAGGGUCCAUGGCCCGAUCUCCAACCCUUUGAUAAAAACACCAUGUUGCUUUGGCAGGCCCGCCCGUUGGGGCCGCGGGGGAUCGCCGGUCCCUAGCCCGUGCCUGCCGGUAGCCUUCACAAAACUCUCAAAAUGUUGUCGUCUGAGAUGAUUAGAAUAAUAAAACUUUCAACAACGGAUCUCAGAUCGGA